UACGAAGGGGGCUAGCGUUGCUCGGAAUCACUGGGCGUAAAGGGUUCGUAGGCGGGUUUUUAAGUCAGGGGUGAAAUCCUGGAGCUCAACUCCAGAACUGCCUUUGAUACUGAAGAUCUUGAGUCCGGGAGAGGUGAGUGGAACUGCGAGUGUAGAGGUGAAAUUCGUAGAUAUUCGCAAGAACACCAGUGGCGAAGGCGGCUCACUGGCCCGGUACUGACGCUGAGGCACGAAAGCGUGGGGAGCAAACAGG
rnacentral:rRNA from 1 species